GCUUGCAUCACCACGCAUAGACUAAAAUUGGAAUGAUUCAGAGAAGACUAGCAUGCCCCCUGCACAAGGAUGACACAUACAUUUGUGAAGUAUUCCAUAAUUUG
rnacentral:snRNA from 1 species